ACUCCUACGGGAGGCAGCAGUGGGGAAUAUUGCACAAUGGGGAAACCCUGAUGCAGCCAUGCCGCGUGUGUGAAGAAGGCCUUCGGUUGUAAAGCACUUUCAGUAGGGAGGAAGGUAGUGUAGUUAACACCUGCAUUAUUUGACGUUACCUACAGAAGAAGCACCGGCUAACUCCGUGCCAGCAGCCGCGGUAAUACGGAGGGGUGCGAGCGUUAAUCGGAAUUACUGGGCGUAAAGCGCAUGCAGGCGGCCUGUUAAGUCAGAUGUGAAAGCCCGGGGGCUUAACCUCGGAAUUGCAUUUGAAACUGGCAGGCUAGAGUCUUGUAGAGGGGGGUAGAAGUUUCAGGUGUAGCGGUGAAAUGCGUAGAGAUCUGAAGGAAUACCAGUGGCGAAGGCGGCCCCCUGGACAAAGACUGACGCUCAGAUGCGAAAGCGUGGGGAGCAAACAGGAUUAGAUACCCUGGUAGCACAGAG
rnacentral:rRNA from 1 species